rnacentral:rRNA from 1 species
AUUGAACGCUGGCGGCAUGCUUUACACAUGCAAGUCGAACGGCAGCGCGGGCUUCGGCCUGGCGGCGAGUGGCGAACGGGUGAGUAAUGCAUCGGAACGUGCCCAGUCGUGGGGGAUAGCACGGCGAAAGCCGGAUUAAUACCGCAUACGACCUGAGGGUGAAAGCGGGGGACCGAAAGGCCUCGCGCUAUUGGCGCGGCCGAUGUCGGAUUAGCUAGUUGGUGGGGUAAAGGCUUACCAAGGCGACGAUCCGUAGCUGGUCUGAGAGGACGACCAGCCACACUGGGACUGAGACACGGCCCAGACUCCUACGGGAGGCAGCAGUGGGGAAUUUUGGACAAUGGGGGCAACCCUGAUCCAGCCAUGCCGCGUGCGGGAAGAAGGCCUUCGGGUUGUAAACCGCUUUUGUUCGGGAAGAAAUCCUCUGGGCUAAUACCCCGGGGGGAUGACGGUACCGGAAGAAUAAGCACCGGCUAACUACGUG